CCGAACCGGUGACCUGGCCGCUCAGCAGUGGUACAGGAGCUGUGGCAACGGGACGUGACAUCUCCGUUCCCCCUUCAGGGAACAAGGGUUAGCAUACGUAACUGAGACAUUCCCUUUCAUUCACUUUCGAUGUUACUUCGGGUGUCCGACAAAUUGGGAUCUCUACCAAAGGGCCACAUCGACUGCCCCUUCCAGAGUGAUGUGAAAGCCACCUGCGAAGGGAUGGAGGAGCUCAACAGGUUACUCAGUGCUUCUACCCGUUUGAGGAAAGAACAAGUGGAGCAGGAGGAAAGGGAUUCCCCAGAGAUGACAUACGAUCUGCCUAGAGAACGAUUAUGAGCCUGUACUUCUGCUUGGAUAUGCUUACAAAGACGUGAAAUGAAGAUGCAUCCAGGUUCUACAUCAGAAUGCCGGCUCCUGCGUCAGCAGCAUCACAUGCAUGCAUCGUGAGAGAAAA